rnacentral:rRNA from 1 species
GUGGGGAAUAUUGGACAAUGGGCGAAAGCCUGAUCCAGCAAUGCCGCGUGAGUGAUGAAGGCCCUAGGGUUGUAAAGCUCUUUUACCCGGGAUGAUAAUGACAGUACCGGGAGAAUAAGCUCCGGCUAACUCCGUGCCAGCAGCCGCGGUAAUACGGAGGGAGCUAGCGUUGUUCGGAAUUACUGGGCGUAAAGCGCGCGUAGGCGGUUUUUUAAGUCAGAGGUGAAAGCCCGGGGCUCAACCCCGGAAUUGCCUUUGAAACUGGAAAACUUGAAUCUUGGAGAGGUCAGUGGAAUUCCGAGUGUAGAGGUGAAAUUCGUAGAUAUUCGGAAGAACACCAGUGGCGAAGGCGACUGACUGGACAAGUAUUGACGCUGAGGUGCGAAAGCGUGGGGAGCAAACAGGAUUAGAAACCCGGGUAGUCC